rnacentral:rRNA from 1 species
GAUGAACGCUGGCGGCGUGCCUAAUACAUGCAAGUCGAGCGAAUGGAUUAAGAGCUUGCUCUUAUGAAGUUAGCGGCGGACGGGUGAGUAACACGUGGGUAACCUGCCCAUAAGACUGGGAUAACUCCGGGAAACCGGGGCUAAUACCGGAUAACAUUUUGAACCGCAUGGUUCGAAAUUGAAAGGCGGCUUCGGCUGUCACUUAUGGAUGGACCCGCGUCGCAUUAGCUAGUUGGUGAGGUAACGGCUCACCAAGGCAACGAUGCGUAGCCGACCUGAGAGGGUGAUCGGCCACCCUGGGACUGAGACACGGCCCAGACUCCUACGGGAGGCAGCAGUAGGGAAUCUUCCGCAAUGGACGAAAGUCUGACGGGGCAACGCCGCGUGAGUGAUGAAGGCUUUCGGGUCGUAAAACUCUGUUGUUAGGGAAGAACAAGUGCUAGUUGAAUAAGCUGGCACCUUGACGGUACCUAACCAGAAAGCCACGGCUAACUACGUGCCAGCCGCCGCAGUAA